rnacentral:tRNA from 1 species
GCCCUCGUAGCUCAAUGGAUAGAGCAGUUCCGUCCUAAGGAAAAAAUGUGGGUUCGAUUCCUGCCGAGGGCACAA